rnacentral:rRNA from 1 species
AGCAGCCGCGGUAAUUCCAGCCCCAAUAGCGUAUAUUAAAGUUGUUGCAGUUAAAAAGCUCGUAGUUGAAUUUCGGGAUUGACACAUCGGUCGUGCCUUAAGGGGUAUGAACUGGUGUAGUCAAUUUCUCACCUUCCGGAGAACCGCGAUGCCCUUAAUUGGGUGUCACGGGGAACCAGGACCUUUACUUUGAAAAAAUUAGAGUGUUUAAAGCAGGCAUUUUGCUUGAAUACAUUAGCAUGGAAUAAUAAAAUAGGACGGCAUGAUUCUAUUUUGUUGGUUUCUAGGAUCACCGUAAUGAUUAAUAGGGAUAGUUGGGGGCAUUAGUAUUCAAUUGUCAGAGGUGAAAUUCUUGGAUUUAUUGAAGACUAACUACUGCGAAAGCAUUUGCCAAGGAUGUUUUCAUUAAUCAAGAACGAAAGUUAGGGGAUCGAAGACGAUCAGAUACCGUCGUAGUCUUAACCAUAAACUAUGCCGACUAGGAAUCAGACGAUGUUAAUUUUUUAAUGACUCGUUUGGU